rnacentral:rRNA from 1 species
UACGGAGGAUGCAAGCGUUAUCCGGAAUGAUUGGGCGUAAAGCGUCCGCAGGUGGCUGUGUAAGUCUGCUGUUAAAGAGUGAGGCUCAACCUCAUAAAGGCAGUGGAAACUACAUGGCUAGAGUGCGUUCGGGGCAGAGGGAAUUCCUGGUGUAGCGGUGAAAUGCGUAGAGAUCAGGAAGAACACCGGUGGCGAAAGCGCUCUGCUAGGCCGCAACCGACACUGAGGGACGAAAGCUAGGGGAGCGAAUGGG